GUGGGGAAUCUUAGACAAUGGGGGCAACUCUGACGCAGCCAUGCCGCGUGCAGGAAGAAGGCGCUACGCGUUGUAAACUGCUUUUAACCGGGAAGAAACCCCAGGACGUGUCCUGGGUUGACGGUACCGGAGGAAUAAGCACCGGCUAACUUCGUGCCAGCAGCCGCGGUAAUACGAAGGGUGCAAGCGUUAUCCGGAUUCAUUGGGUUUAAAGGGUGCGUAGGCGGAGCGUUAAGUCAGUGGUGAAAUCCUGCAGCUUAACUGUAGACUUGCCAUUGAUACUGGCGCUCUUGAGUGCGCUUGAAGUGGGCGGAAUGUGCCGUGUAGCGGUGAAAUGCUUAGAUAUGGCACAGAACACCAAUUGCGAAGGCAGCUCACUAAGGCGAUACUGACGCUGAGGCACGAAAGCGUGGGGAUCGAACAGGAUUAGAUACCCGUGUAGUCC
rnacentral:rRNA from 1 species